rnacentral:lncRNA from 1 species
CUCGAGCGGUAGUACCGGUUCAGAUCGGCGAACAUGGCGGCGAAGCUGUGGUCCUCGUACUCCAAGCUGGCGCAGUCGCCCAGCUGCUGGAAGACCUUGGCCGCCGCGUCGUCAUCGGUGCCCAGGAGGUUGUCGACGACGCCGCGCUUCUGGAGGUGCUCCACGUCCUCGCCCGUCCUAACCCGGGAACCCACCAGCGCCGCGUAGCGCGACACCGGUGGACGUGGCUCUUGGCAGGCGAACUCAUCCUUUUGGUGGUGCCACGCAUCCUGCACUUUGUCCUUCACCUUGGAAAUGCCAGGGAUGUGAGUUACUCGUCUUGGCUCCUUUUUGUUUCGAGCCGGAGCCGGCUGCGCCUUCGAGCUAGUUCCACCACUCCCAGGCUGCGGCACCGGUAGAUCGGCGAACAUGGCGGCGAAGCUAUGGUCCUCGUACUCCAAGCUGGCGCAGUCGCCCAGCUGCUGGAAGAACUUGGCCGCCGCGUCGUCGUCGGUGCCCAGGAGGUUGUCGACGAUGCCGCGCUUCUGAAGGUGCUCCACGUCCUCGCCCGUCCUCACCCGGGAACCCACCAGCGCCGCAUAGCGCGACACCGGUGGACGUGGAUCUUGGCAGGCGAACUCAUCCUUUUGGUGGUGCCACGCAUCCUGCACUUUGCCCUUCACCUUGGAAAUGCCAGGGAUGUGAGUUACUCGUCUUGGCUCCUUUUUGUUUCGAGCCGGUGCCGGCAGCGCCCUCGAGCUAGUUCCACCACUCCCAGGCUGCGGCACCGGUGGACGUGGAUCUUGGUAGGCGAAGUCGCUCCUGCUUUGGGCUUCCCAUCCCGGACUGGGACUGGCUCCUCCUCCUCCUACCAUGGUCAGGCGGCCAAAGGCUGAUGAGAGUACGGAAUCCGUAUAGAAAUGGCAGGCAACUUUAAACCUCAAACAUAUUACAAAUUAAACUCUUCCAUCGAUAUAGCAGCGCUGCUAGCCUAAUUAGAAGUAUAAAAUCACUGCUACUACUGAAAAAUGGAACCGAAAUCGUAGCUAAAUCGAAGAUCUUGUGCACCUAGCUAUAGUUGUUACCUUCUUCAGCAGAGGAGGACGCUUGCCUGUUUUUUGCGUAAAAGGAAAAUGCCAUCAGUUGAUUGUAAUGCUCUCCAGCUUAGACCCGGAUCAAUUGUAGCAGGAGAGUAGUAGUGCUCAACAUGAGCUGAACCCGU